CGGCGAACGGGUGAGUAACGCGUGGAUUAUCUGCCCUGAGGUGGGGGAUAACCCGGGGAAACUCGGGCUAAUACCGCAUAUGACCGAGAGGUCAAAGGGGGGUCGCAAGAUCUCCCGCCAUAGGAGGAGUCCGCGUUCGAUUAGCUAGUUGGUAGGGUAAUGGCCUACCAAGGCGACGAUCGAUAGCCGGCCUGAGAGGGUGAUCGGCCACACUGGAACUGAGACACGGUCCAG
rnacentral:rRNA from 1 species